AAGAAAGCAGAGUGGGUUAGUGGACUAUCCCCUCAGAAGUACGGCACCACUGAAACUCACAUAUUUAUAGUAUUUUGGGAUCAUUUAUUCACUCAAGCAAUAGUGUGCAUUUACCAUUUAUAAGGAAAUUUGCGACUGACCUGCAAUUAACAAGGUUUAAAGCCUUAGCGAUCAUGAUCCUUGCUCUUAAGGACUAGUUGGGGAACUAGAUAACUAUUAUUGAAUGUGUCCAGACAUAAAAUCCUCUAUGUUUUCUCCUCCUGAUGCCAUUCUACCAGCAAGUUGGGGGUAAUAACAAUGCAGGAUCCACUGACAUCACACAAUUGUUCUGAGGACAGAUGUGAUUAGGAAGUAAAAACGCCUUUGUGAAGUUCUGACAUUAGGAAAGCAUUAAUUGUUAAAAUGCCUUUCAAUUGCUUGCUUGUCAAUUUUUCAUUCAACAAAUAUUUAUGGUGCACCUCUGCUGAGCAAACACUGUUAGGGGCCCUGGGGACGCAGCAGUAAAGAAAACAGACAAAAUCUUUGCCCUCAUGGAGCUGACAUUCCCCAGUAGGACAGUCUGCUGACAUGAAUUAAAAGAUUCAUCAGCCACAUGAGAGAGAUUAGAAAGCUUAAGCCUGAAAAUAUAUAUUCACUGAAUAUAUAUAUGUAUUCACUGUUUGGAAUUUUGAAAAAUUGGAAACAACCCUGUGUCCCUGAAUGGGGGACUGGUAAAAAAUUAUGUUGUUUUCAUUCUACAGAAAAUCGUGUCACUGUUAAAAAGAUGGGAGUAGCUGUCUAUAUGUAGUAUUAUGGGAAGAUCUCCAAGACCUGCUAAAGGGAGAUAAAGUAAGUUCCAGAACAAUACAUGAUAUGACCCCAUUAAUGUUUAAAAUAAACACUUACUGGGGCACCUGGGUGGCUGAGCAUCCGACUUCAGCUCAGGUCAUGAUCUCACGGUUCGGGUCCCGAGUUCCAGCCCCACGUCAGGCUCUGUGCUGUGAGCUCAGAGCCUGCCUUGGAUCCCCUGUCCUCCUCUCUCUCUGCCCCUCCCCUGCUCACUCUAUCUUAAAAAUAAAAUAAAAUAAUUUAAAAAAGCAAACACCUGUUUGUUUCGUUCACAUGGUAGUAUAUAGUUAGUUAUAUGUAUGUAUUUAAAUGAGCUCUUAGAGAAAAAUUCUGGAAAUACACAAGUGACAAGUGUGUUACCUCAAAGGAGCGAAAGGGCACUGGUGGGGGAAUGAUGUGGGCCGGGGUACAUUUUCUGACUACAAUGUAUACUUCUUGCUUCAUUUCUGACAAGGAGACCGCACUGGUGUAUCGCUUGUGUAAUUAAACAAGGUGUAUGCAUGUGGGUACAAUGGAGUAGUGGCAACAUGAUUAUGGAUGACAAUUGUUGCUCUUUUAAUCUCCUUUAAUGUUGUUUUAAUAUGUCUAUAGAGAGAUAUAGACACAUAGAUGAGACGAUGCCAAAACAUAAAAGGUGGAAUUAAAACAUGGUGCCCUGGCUCAGAAAUGUUGCCUCUCCCCACCCCACCUGCAGUUUAUAGUGAAACCUUUUUUAAGAGCAUCAUGGGAUGUUGGAUAAAAAUCCUUGAUCUCCCAGUUCUGAGGCACAUGUAAUUAUUUCACAGGUAAGUAGCCUCAAGGAUCUUUUCGAUAGAUAUGACUUCAUUAUGAGAGCAUCGUGCCUCUCCCAGCAGUAAUUGCGCUUUGGCUGGAGCCAACGUGGGGGUUCUGGUAUGUGCUGGGUGGUUCCCAAUCAGGUUCUCCUGGCUUCCGACCCAAAUCAAGUGAGCUGGCCUUCGCUUUGGCUGGUCUCUGAAAACCAGCUCAUUCAGGCUGGCCAAAUCUCUUCCAUUGCUUCUCUCUCUUUCUCUCUCUCUCUCCCUCUGGGACCUUGGGCAAGUCUUCUGGGUCUCCAAUGGAGGGCGAUGGACUGCGUAGCCUAUAACAUCAUUUACAGUCCUAAGCUUCUCGUUUCUACUGUGGCAAGUUGUUGCAAUAGACCACCCGUGUUCACAGGCACCUGCCAUGUGCUGAAAACACACAGAAGCAGAGGAGCAAGGUCUCUGGUUUUAAGGGGCUGCUCGUGGCGGAGUCAUAUUCUUGGGGAAGUUGAAUCCAGUGAAACAGCUAGAAAGGUGGGCUCCAAAGAGCUGUUGGGAGAACUCUCCUGCACUUCCCUCCAGUCUCCGGCUCUGAGCCUCUUGCAUUAGGCUGGCCUCUGCUCCUCCGGCCCCUUUGUUCUGGAAGUAAGCUGGUUAGCGCCCCCAGCCAUGAGGGAUUGCUUCAGGUCCCAGAGACUGACCCCCACUCGUGUUACGGUAGGGCAAGAAGAGUCUCGGGGUGGGGACAGGGAUAGCCCGAGGUCAGGGUGCGAUCCAACAGAUUGGAGUGGGAACCCAGGCCCUCACGGCCGAUCUACUGACUCAGCAAACCUUUGUGGAGCAUUUUGCUGUAGGCCACGCACUGUGCUAGAUUGCCAGAGCACAGGUGCGGAUCAGUGGCCCUUGGGGCUUCCAGAUCAAGCUCUAGUGAUUAGAAGCUUCUCCCGGGCAGGACGACACCCUCCAUUGGAGAACCUUCAGGUCUGUGCCUUUCUUCGGGGCUCCCCAGCCAAGCAGCCCAAGCAGCCUUAGCCGCCAAGGAGCCAAAGGCUUCCAGAGGAGACCCAGUUCAUCCUAGACGCUGGGUCGGGGGCUACGAGUCAGAAGUCCUCCUCGACUGUGCAGAAAGCUCCACAGUGCUCUCGGUCGAGGCCGAUCUCCAGCAAGGGAAACUUGCUUCCACGGGCUGAGGGCGGGUGGGUGCUUUCCCGGAAGAGAAGCAGCCGUGUGGCAGGAGCGGAGAAUGAACAACAAGCCGACCCAACGUCUCAUUCCCUCUCCACACCUUCCAGCUGUGUGACCGGGUCUGUGGCUCAGCCUCCUGAGUCUCAGUGGUCUCUUCUGGAAAAUGGGAUUAGUCACAGUCCCGCUGAUUCUCUUCUCAGGAGGUGAUUCCGUGGAUCAAAUGAGGUGACGGAUGGAAAAGAAUCAUCAAACACUUUACAAUACCAGCUGAGGUCGUUAGACUCUCGGAGGCCAUGCGUCUUCCUGCUUUACCCCCUCGACCUCUGCCACCCCACUGGUCCUCCUAGAACCCACAGACGCCCUCACAGGAUGUCCCUUAGGAGGCAAGAGGGCCAGCUGGCGCUGGCACUGGCUGGGCGGCCCCAUGACUACUGCGGGUUGAGGCCUCACCCUGAAACCCAUUAGACCAAUGCUGUGUAUGCCCGACAGGUGGCAGCAAGUGACGUUUUCAGGGCACCUCAGGGGCCCCCUGGGGGAGGGGGUUCUUCCUCAGCGGGAAGAAGGAACUCUGGGGGCAGAGGAGGCCUGGGCAUCAGGAGACCCAACGCCCCAGGUCCUCGUGUGCUGUCAGCCUUGGGGUCACCUCGCCUCUCUGGGCAUGAGUGUCAGAUGGGUGUUGUUUUUUUAUUCUAAAAGUGACAUGAUCCUAAAACAUGUAAAUAUCACAGAAGAGGCAAGUCAGGGAAGUCGCCUCCCCCACUCCACAAUACUCGAAUAGUUAUGUAUGCUCCUUAAAAUUUUUUUUUAAGUUUAUUUAUUUUUGAGACAGAGAGAGACAGAGCAUGAACGGGGGAGGGGCAGAGAGAGAGGGAGGCACAGAAUCGGAAACAGGCUCCAGGCUCUGAGCCAUCAGCCCAGAGCCCGAUGCGGGGCUCAAACUCACGGACCGCGAGAUCGUGACCUGAGCUGAAGUCGGACGCUCAACCGACUGAGCCACACAGGCGCCCCAUGUAUGCUCCUUAAACAAUACACAUAAAUAUUGGGGUCGCAAAGAUCCCUGGUCUCUCGGACCUUCUUUCUAUCACCGUGUUCGUAGGAUGUCUCCUUCCUUCAACCAACGGCAGAGACUUGUAGCAUCUUAUCAAGCCAUUUUGUAUCAUUUCCACAGGAUAAACUCCUGUCAUGGAAUUACAGGAUCAAAGAUAUUUCGGCACAUCCUCAAUACAUUGAGUGUUACCUUCCUUUUUAAACGUUUGAAAGCGAUGAGUGAGGAUGUUAUUUCCUCCUAAUUUUAAGCUGCUCGUUAGUGAGGUUGAGUAUCUUUUUUUGUACGUUUAGCAGCUAUAUGCAUUUCUUCUGCUGUAAAAAUCUCGCUUGUGCCUUCCGAUUUUUCUAUUGGAAUGAUGGUCUUUUUCUUAUUUAUUUUUUUAAUUUUUAAAAAUUUUUGAGAGAUACAUAGAGACAGAGCAUGAAUGGGGGAAGGGCAGAGAGAGAGGGAGACACAGAAUCUGAAGCAGGAUCCAGGCUCUGAGCUGUCAGCACAGAGCCUGACACGGGGCUCGAACUCAGGAACUCAUGACCUGUGAGNNNNNNNNNNNNNNNNNNNNNNNNNNNNNNNNNNNNNNNNNNNNNNNNNNNNNNNNNNNNNNNNUUUUUUUUUUCAACGUUUAUUUAUUUUUGGGACAGAGAGAGACAGAGCAUGAACGGGGGAGGGGCAGAGAGAGAGGGAGGCACAGAAUCAGAAACAGGCUCCAGGCUCCGAGCCAUCAGCCCAGAGCCCGACGCGGGGCUCGAACUCACGGACCGCGAGAUCGUGACCUGGCUGAAGUUGGACGCUUAACCGACUGCGCCACCCAGGCGCCCCUCUUUUUCUUAUUUAAAGCAGCACUUUAUGUAGCAAAGCUCUUAAUCCAUUGCUUGUCCUACAAGUUAUGUUAUUUCCCUAGUUUGUCAUGUGUUUAUAGUGUUCAUGUCCCAUACCAAAGACUUAAAUAUGUAUGCAGGUAAAAUUGUUAGUUUUUUCCUUUAUGGAUUCGGAGGCUUAUCUGUUUUUAAGAAAGCCUUUUCUCAUUCUCAAGAUUAUGGAAUUGUUUUUUAUCUAGUUUCUUUUACAGCUUUUAUAAAUUAAAAAAAUGCAUGCCUCUUUAAUACAUUUGGGAUUUUUUUUACGAAUGUGGCAUGAGGUGAAAACCCACUUUUUCCCCCUCCAAAUGGAUCACUGAUUAUUCCAACACCAUUGAAGCACCAACCCUAUUUCUCUACAAAUAAGAAAUACAAUCUUUACCAUGUAACAUACAUUUUAUUCCAUUAACCUAUUUCAUUCUAUUCUACAUUCUAUUUUCUUUGUUUAUCUAUUUGAUAUUUCUACAACAUUAUCGUGCUUAAUUCUUCUGACUUUAAUAAUAUCUUUUCAAACCCAAUGGGGCAAGCCCCAUCUCAUUUUUCUUCUUCUAUAAAAAUUGUUUAUUCUUAUGUAUCUGGCCUCCUAGAUAAUAUUUAGAAUCAACUUGCCAAUUGUCUUAAUCAGAAAUUUUACUGGGGUGCCUGACUGACUCAUUUGGUAGAGCAUUCGACUCCUGAUCUCGGGUUGUGAGUUCAAGCCCCAAGUUGGGCAUAGAGCUUACUUUAACAUAGAUAAAUAAAAAUUUUUGAAAAAAGAAAUUUUAUUGAAGUUGCAUAAAAUGUAUAAACUAAGUUGGGGGAAGAAUUGAAAUCUUAGCAAUGUUUAGAUAUCCCAAGCAGACAUACAAUAAUGUAUUUUAUUUAGACUUUCUUCAGUGUAUUCAAUAUUUGCUUCCAAACAGGUCUUAGGUAUCUCUUGCAUGAAUUAGUUGGUGUAUUUUCAGGUUUAUGGGUGAUUUACGCUUUGUUUUGUUUUCGCUAUAGUGAAAGGAAUAAUUUUCAUUUUAUAUUUUCACCUUGCUAUUUCUAUCGUAUAAGAAAACUAGUUUGUGUCUGGGAAUCCUUGCAAACUCUCUUAUUGUUUCUAUUAAAUAAUCAGUUGAGUCUCUUGGAUUUUCCAUUUAAUAACUGCUCUGCUUAUUAGCAAAGAAAAUCAUGUCUAUUGUAGAACAUGAAAACACACAAAAAGAAAGUGACAAACAGUACCUGUAAAAUCUACUAUUUAAAAAAAAAUUUUAAACAUUUAUUUUUGAGAGAAAGAGAGAGACAGACAGACAGAGAAUGAGCGGGGCGGGGGGGCAAAGAGAGAGAGAGACAUAGAAUUUGAAGCAGGCUCCAGGCUCUGAGCUGUCAGCACAGAGCCCAACAUGGGGCUUGAACCCAUGAACUGUGAGAUUAUGACCUGGGCUGAAGUCAGAUGCUCAACUGACUGAGCCACCCAGGUGCCCUUGUAAAAUUUACUCUUUAGAAAAAGUUAUUCUUAACAUUUUGAUGAAUGUUCCACCCCCCAAAAAAAGAUUUAUUAUAUAUACAUAUUGUAUAUAUUGUAUACAUUUAUAUAUAUAUAUAUAUACUUAAAAUAGUAUCACAAUAUAUAUGACAUUGUACAUAUAUCUCCUGAGGUAUACAAUGUACAGGUCUAAGAAUUAAAUAGAUGCAUGUAUACGGAGUUGUUGAAAUAGCAUCAUACUAUGCAUACUGUUUUCUAACCCACUUUUCCUAUUUCAUUAACUAUUACAAACCUUUUCCUACAGUGUUAUUAUUCUACAUCAUCAUUUCGAUAGCUGCAUUAAAUGUGGGGAAAAAGCAACCCCCAACGGCAGACAUUUAGCUAGUCAAUUUCUUAAUAUUAUAUAUCUAUAGUGAACAUCUUAUUACUUAAAGCUCUGUGAAUAUUCAUUAUUAUUCUUUAGGAGAACUUUCUAGAAGUGGCAUUCUGGGUUCAAAGACAUGCAGAAAUAAAAAAAAAAAAAAACAUGCAGAAAUCUAAGGCUUUGGUGACAAGUUGACAAAUUGCCCUCCAGAAAGCUUAUGCCAAUUUAUUCUCCGACCUCUACUUUUCAAUACAUAUUUCUUCUUCAGAUCCCACUUUCUUCAGUAAACAUCAUACCAUAGGCUUUUCUUAAGUGUUAAACUCACUGGCAACGUCAUUUUAACAGUAACAGAGUCUUUUUUCCUGCCACUAGCCCUCUGUCGGAGCCCCCACAGCUCUGUUUCUGGGAUAAAUCCAAGAGUUCCCAACUUCCAGAUCAAGUGGCUUCGUUUGAUAACGGGAAACCCCAGCUUUGGGCUCCAGUUUCCAGGGCCGUUUUGUUUUAUUUAUUAUUAUUUUUUUAAUGUUUGUUUAUUUUUGAGAGAGACAGACAGACAGAGCGUGAGCAGGGGAGGGGCGGAGAGAGAGGGAGACACAGAAUCCAAAGCAGGCUCCAGGCUCCGACCUGUCAGCACAGAGCCUGACGCGGGGCUCGAACUCACCAACUGCGAGAUCAUGACCCGAGCCGAAGUCGGACGCUUAACCGCCUAAGUCACCCAGGCGCCCCCCUGGGCUUCAGUUUCCAAAGGAGAAAUAAAAUGGUUAACUCAGCCUCGAUUUCGUUUGCUUUCUGCUGCAGGAAGGUGGCCAGGGGGCUCCACGAAAUGUUAAUCGUUCUGAGAGAUCACUAGCUAUAAGUAGCAGAAGACCCAUUUGUGCUUUCAAUAAAAAUGCCCCCUUCCCUGUCAUUUUUUAUCAGUGAAAACGGUGUCAUGUUUCUCCCCAUCAGGUGUUCCCUUGGCAAGAACCUCCUAAUUCAGAAACCCUUCCAGCAAGGGGGUAAGUUUUUCUGCACAACAAAUGACUACAAACACAUCUGCAUUGACAAGUCACAACUUAUAUCCUUCUAUGGUGUUUCUGCUCUUUUGAAAAUGUUAAUAAAAACUUAAUGUGGAAAAAAAACAACUUUUUCCAAAUAUGUGUACCAAUGAGCCCAAG
rnacentral:lncRNA from 1 species